AGAAGAGACUGUAUGUGUCCCUGGUCACUGACAAAGAAAAUCAGCUGCAGAAGUGAUUUCUAGAGAUACAGGUGAAGAAGAUGCACAGUCAAAUAAUGAAAUCCUAGCAUACUGACCUUUAGAAAUGUUUGGAAACCAAAAUGGAUUGCCAAGGACACAAACAGAACAACCAAGAUCUCAUUUUGGACACCCUUGAAGCCUAACCAUACUUCCAAUGGCUCAAGACUAGUGUGAUUCUAAAGGGAAGUACGGCAAAAUCUAGUAAUCAUUUCUGGAAUCUACAAAAUCCUUAGGCUGAGCAGACUUUUGUGAC